AUUGAACGCUGGCGGCAGGCUUAACACAUGCAAGUCGAGCGGGGGAAGGUAGCUUGCUACCGGACCUAGCGGCGGACGGGUGAGUAAUGCUUAGGAAUCUGCCUAUUAGUGGGGGACAACAUCUCGAAAGGGAUGCUAAUACCGCAUACGUCCUACGGGAGAAAGCAGGGGAUCUUCGGACCUUGCGCUAAUAGAUGAGCCUAAGUCGGAUUAGCUAGUUGGUGGGGUAAAGGCCUACCAAGGCGACGAUCUGUAGCGGGUCUGAGAGGAUGAGCCGCCACACUGGGAAUGAGACACGGCCCAGAAUCCUACGGGAGGCAGCAGUGGGGAAUAUUGGACAAUGGGGGGAACCCUGAUCCAGCCAUGCCGCGUGUGUGAAGAAGGCCUUAUGGUUGUAAAGCACUUUAAGCGAGGAGGAGGCUACUUUAGUUAAUACCUAGAGAUAGUGGACGUUACUCGCAGAAUAAGCACCGGCUAACUCUGUGCCAGCAGCCGCAGUAA
rnacentral:rRNA from 1 species